AAAAUGUUAAAAAUAAAUCAUUGACUUUUAAAUAUUCUUUUAAAUAAAUUAAAUUUGAAUAGAUAUGGUAUUUGAUUAUUUUCUGAGAGGAUGUGAUGUGAUGCUGUGAGAAUCAUUCAAUCGCCGCUGAACAUCAGCGGCGCUAUUUGCUGUUAGUCAUAUAAUACAGUUGUGUCAGGUCAACAGCUGAUGUACUUACAUUUUUUGGUUUUAUCAAUCAGCUAAACUAUCUCGGUGCUUCUUUAAUAAUAGCAACAAUGAUAUUGGAUCGUUGUGAUUUAAUGAAAUAUGGAGUGAUGAUUUCUGGCAUAGGAAGCUCAAUAGAUUUAUUUCAUUUGAUAUUUAACAAUUCCGAUUCUAACUGGCAUUACAUCAGAUAUCUAUUGUUUGUAAAAAAACUAUUUAGUAAAUAGUCCAGUAUUUUCUAAUACAUACGUUGGUAAAUAUGUUUAAAAAUUAUAAUAUUAUAUUAACCAAAUUUUAUAGUGAUUGUAUUUCAAUUGGUAUGGAUAUUGUUCAUAUACAUUUACAUGUCACAAGAGAGUGUUUUAGGUAAUUCAAAACAAAAUUUUAAAUGGAUCGAAAAUCAGUUAAGCGACCUUGUAUCCAACAUACCUGAUAACUCAAAAAGCCCUACAUUAGCACAGGAAACUUUUACUUCUAUUAGUGAGGGAAAUCCUGAUGAUAAGGAAAAAAAAGAUAUAAAAAAUCAGGAGACUUAGAAUGUGGAAAAAAGUUUAUAGUCUAAUAUUAAUAAUAAACUAUAAGAUAAAAAUACAUGAUUUCAAAAAUUAAUUUAUACAAAUA